rnacentral:tRNA from 1 species
AUAAAGAUAAGCUAAGAGUAAGCUUUUUGACUCAUACUCAUAAUAUAGAUUUAAUCUUCUUUAU